AACUCGAGUUAAUAAAACCCGGCGUAAAGAGUGUUUAAGAUCCCACCCUCAAUAAAGCUAACCUAUAACUAAGUUGUAGAAAACUCCGGUUAUAGUGAAAUACUCUACGAAAGUGGCUUUAAUGCUCCUGAAUACACUAUAGCUAAGAUACAAACUGGGAUUAGAUACCCCACUAUGCUUAGCCUUAAACCCCAAUAACUCCACCAACAAAACUAUUCGCCAGAACACUACAAGCAAUAGCUUAAAACUCAAAGGACCUGGCGGUGCUUUAUAUCCGUCUAGAGGAGCCUGUUCUGUAAUCGAUAUACCCCGAUAGACCUUACCACCUCUUGCCCU
rnacentral:rRNA from 1 species